rnacentral:rRNA from 1 species
CCUACGGGUGGCAGCAGUGAGGAAUAUUGGUCAAUGGACGCAAGCCUGAACCAGCCAUGCCGCGUGAAGGAAGACGGCUCUAUGAGUUGUAAACUUCUUUUAUAAGGGAAUAAAUUGAGACACGUGUUCCUGUUUGAAUGUACCUUAUGACUAAGGAUCGGCUAACUCCGUGCCAGCAGCCGCGGUAAUACGGAGGAUUCUAGCGUUAUCCGGAUUUAUUGGGUUGAAAGGGUGCGUAGGGGGUUUGUUAAGUCAGGGGUGAAAGUUGGGGGCUCAACCCUAACACUGCCACUGAUACUGGCUGGCUUGAGUAUAGUUGCGGUAGGCGGAAUGAGUGGUGUAGCGGUGAAAUGCAUAGAGAUCACGCAGAACACCGAUUGCGAAGGCAGCUUACUAAACUGCCACUGACGUUGAGGCACGAAAGCGUGGGGAGCAAACAGGAUUAGAUACCCGGGUAGUC